rnacentral:rRNA from 1 species
AUUUCCGUAGAAAAGGUACGGGCAAUGCAGAGACUCUUGUUCCGGAUUCUUGGUGGCCGACUGCGGAUGAUCUUGGUGAUCUCGUUUUCUCUGGUCGCCGCGAUCACGGUUGCCGUCGGG